rnacentral:rRNA from 1 species
UACGAAGGGGGCUAGCGUUGUUCGGAAUCACUGGGCGUAAAGGGUGCGUAGGUGGCGUGGUAAGUCAGAUGUGAAAUCCCUGGGCUCAACCUAGGAACUGCGUUUGAAACUACAAGGCUAGAGUGUAGCAGAGGGGGGUAGAAUUCCACGUGUAGCAGUGAAAUGCGUAGAGAUGUGGAGGAAUACCAAUGGCGAAGGCAGCCCCCUGGGUUAACACUGACGCUCAUGCACGAAAGCGUGGGGAGCAAACAGG